rnacentral:lncRNA from 1 species
GCGGCAUAUGGAAGUUCCCAGGCUGGGGGUCUAAUCGGAGCUGCAGCUGCCGGUCUACACCACAGCCCACAGCAACGCAGGAUCCUUAACCUGCUGAGCGAGGCCGGGGGUCAAACCCACAUCCUCAUGGAUACUAGUUGCGUUUGUUACUGCUGAGCCACAGCAGGAACUCCCCAUACACACGUUUUCAAAGGCCUUUUGCAAUCUGACCUUGACAAAAUUCAGAUUUAUCUGUGGAUUUCUCAACUUGGCUACUGAAAUUGCCAGGAACAACGGCGGCCGGCAACAACGCUUAAGAAACUGAAAACACUUUCAGAAACACCAGACGUAUUCUUUAUCCUUGCAAGACUUUCUGCUUUCAAAAGUUUUUGAUUUCUUUUUUCUGCUUACGUGGUUACAGAAAAACAAACAGUCCCAAGGCUGGGGGCUGGGCUGGCGCUGCACCCCGUCCUCCCAGCGGCGGGACAGCACCUGUGGGGCAGGGGAGCGUGUGACCUAACAGGUGCUGAGAGGGGGCUUGUUACCGCCGCUUAGGUCCCAGCAUCACCCCCCACUCCCAUCCCUGGAGUUGAGGUUCGCCUGCCUCUGGAGAAAAGCCCCCUGGCAGGUGUCUGUGUGGAUGCUUUAAAGAGGGGUUUGCUUUCUUUGUUACAAAGUUCCUGACAUACAGAAGCCGAGAUGGCACCACAGCUGCCAAGGCAGCCCCGUCACCUGCAAUACUUUGGCAGUUUUGUUUUGUGGUCUCUAUACAUUCUCGUUUGUUGUUUGUUCUCCUGGAGAUGUUUCAAGAAAAUCCCAGGUCAUCGCACCCAUAAAUAUUUCAAGAGCUCUCUCUAAUGGAUAACAGAGUAUUCAUCACAUGUCUCUGCUACAAAAAGAACCAUUCCCUGUAGCAUCUGCGGCCCAGUCCCCAUACAGAGGAAGUCAGCCUUUGUCAGUGAGAGCGAGUGCGGUCACAGACUGGCCCCCUCACUUGGCAAGAAAGGGUACACGUCUUGAUCUGGCCCGGGCUGAGCCCCGGGGCUUCAGCAAACCCAGAAAAUCCUUCACCGCCCUGCUGUGUCCAGCUGAGAGCAAGCAGGGAGUGGAAGGAAGAGGGGAGGGCAGGGCUGAGGAGAAGGGAGUGGAGCCAGAAGCCAGAGGGUGGAAAGUUCCAGAAAGGCCAGAGCUCAGAGUUGGUGGAAAGCACCAUGCCUCCUGGGGCUGUGGGAGAACAAAUGAGGCAAGCUCGGUAAAGAGCUGACAUGUAGUAGGUCUGAAUGUGGUGCAGCAAACACGCACCAUCUAGUUUGUUCCCAGGAUUCGCUGGGGGUGCCUCGAAAUAAUACCGUCCUCUCCUCUCCUCUGCGUUCCCCGUCCAGAUGAGACCACGCACCACGCGCCGGAGGUCAGCUUCACCUUCCCCAGCGCCACCUGGCAGAGCAGCACAGGCCCCAGCAGGGCGCCCCUCCGGCCCCGGGACAUCCGAGGUCAGUGCCUGCCGCCCCCAGACACGCAGCCCUGCAUCUGUCAGGGCAGUGAAGGCAAAGCGCGAGGCCCUCAGAGCUGAGCACACACGCUGUCACUGGGGGAGCUGUGACACCACUGCCCGUGCCCUUCAGACCUGACUGACCGUCGGGUGCCCAGCACCAGCUGUGAGGGCUGGACACCAAGACACGUUUACCUCAGACGCCACCCCGCACUCGCCCCUCCCUGAGGAGGGGUGACUGCAUCGCCUGUCCCUCAGACACGACUGCUCUCGACACGUCCACGCACCUGAAGCUGUGACAGCAAGCACGUGUCCCUCACACAUGGCCGCGCCCACCUCGCGCCCCCUCUAAGGAGGCCGAGCAAAGAGUGCGCUGUACCUCACAGGGACCGGUUAUCCCGAGUCUCCUCACUGAGGGGGCAGGGAGAGCAAAAGCACUUCGACUCCAGACACGACUGAAAUCAAGAGCUUCCACACCCGAGGAGGAGGUGAGAGCAGGGCACGUUUGCCUCAGACACGAAGCAUAUGAGAAGCUUCUUCACACGAGGGUGCUGGGAGAGCGCCGCACGUGGAUUGCAGACGUGACCCGUCAGCACAGGUCCCUUCACCUGACGGGGAUGUCACCGCAUCACACAUGUUCCUCACCCCAGACAAGUCACCACGUGGCUCCUCACUUGGGAAGCCCCUGGCAGCGCUGCACGCGUACCUCAGACACAUCUGACAUCAACAGCUUCCUCACCUGAGGAGGCUGUGCGCGCACGUACAUUUACCUCAGAUGGACCCACACAAAGCAGCUCCACCUGAGGAGGCCGUGAGGGCCUGGUGCGGGAUCCGCAGACAGGACCACCCGCCACACAGGUGUUCUUUCCUUUUGUCGUUGGUCUUUUGGGGGCUGCACCCGAGGCAUAUGGAGGUUCCCAGGUUCGAUCCCUGGCUUCGAUCAUCAGGUUAAGGAUCCGGCAUUGUCAUGAGCUGUGGUGUAGUUCAAAGAAGCGGCUUGGAUCUCAUAUUGCUGUGGCUGUGGCGUAGGCUGGUGGCUACAGCUCUGAUUAACCCCCUAGCCUGGUAACUUCCAUAUCCAUAUGCCAUGGGAGCGGCCCUCAAAAGACAAAAAAAAAGCUUCUUCACCUGAGGAGGCUAUUAAAGCAAUGCACAUGUUCCUCACACGUGACCAGUCAGCAGGCAUCUCCUCCAUGGAGGAGGCUGAGAGAGCAUGGACAUUUACCUCAGACCUGACCAAUCACCCUACGUCUCCUCACCUGAGGAGCCUGGGACAGUACCGCACACACAUGUAGCUCACACAGGACUAGUUACCACGUGUCUCCUCUCUUAAGGAGGCUGAGACAGCAGGCACAUUUAUCUCAUACCUGACCAAUCACGUCUCCUCACGUGAAAAGCUAUUACCACAUGCACAUUUAUCUCAGACGUGAUCAAUUCUAAUGCUUCUACACUUGAGGAGGUUGUGGGAGGACUGCACAUAAUUCUUUGGCUUGACCAGUCACCACACGUCUCCUCACCUGAGGAGGCUGUUACAGCACUGCACGUGUGUUUCACAGGUGAUCAUUCACCACAUGUCUCCUCACUUAAGGCGCCUGUACAGCAUGUGCAUUUACCUCAGACUGACCAAUCACCUCUUGUCUCCUCACCUGAGACAUCUGUGACAACAUGCACGUUUGCCUCAGACAGAUACCACAGAUCUCCUCACCUGGGGAGGCUAUUUCAGAACUGCAAGUGUUCUUCACAGGUGAUCAGUCCCCACCCAUCUCCUCACUCCUUGAGGAGAAUGUGAUAACAGUGUACUUGUCCCUCAGGUGUAACAGUCAGUAUGUGUCUCCUCAGUUGAGGAGGCUGUGUUAGCAGUGCACGUGUACCUCAGAAGUGACCCAUAUCAUAUGCCCCUUCACCUGAGGAGGCUGUUGACAGCAUGACAAGUAUACCUCAGACCUGAUCACAAGUUUCCUUACCUGAGGAGGCUGUGACAGCUUGCACAUCUACCCCAGAUUUAACUGAAACCACUUGCCCCUUCACCUGAGGAAGCUGUGACAGCAGUGCAUGUGUUUCUCAGACUUUACUGCUCAACCCACAUCCCCUCAUCUGUCAGGGGAAGGGCAGCAGUGCAUGUACAUCCCAUGUGACUCAUCUCGGCUCAGUAGCCAUUUUUGGCUCCUGACUACUUUAGUGGACAGCACAGGUCUAGAACCUGACCAAAAUCAUGUCACUCGUGUUCUUUUUUCUUUCUUAAUGGCCACAUGGCCUGUGGACGUCCCUGGGACAGGGACUGAAUCGGAGCCACAGCUGCAGCAGCCCUGGAUCCUUUAACUCACUGUGGGAGGCUGGAGAUUGAACCUGUGCCUCUGCAGCGACCCAAGCCGCUGCAGUUGGAGUCUUAAUCUGCUGCACCACAGUGGGAACUCCUUGUCGCCCUCGUCCUUACCCUCAAAAGCAUGUUUGCUUGUUUUAUUUAACUUCGAGCCAAACCUCUUCCCAGAAGGGGUGUAAUUUUCCACAUUCACUAGCCCUAUCAUGAAAUUACCAGUUACCAUAAUAUUCUGUGUCCUGUGUAUUAACCUUAAAACCUGAGACACAGAUGUGUCACUGGGUCCAUGGCCCUCCUCUUCCUCCUCACUUCCCUUAUUUUAUGGUUUUGUUUUUGUUUCUGGAAAUACGAACAACCAUGUGCUGGGUAUGUGAUGAAUCCCAGGGAUGGUUUAAGUUAACAUGAGUGCCACGUUCCUGUCAUUCCUGCCCCAGUGUGUGAGGCCUGUGUUGCCUGGAUCCUUUCUGGAAACAGGAAACUUCCUCUGACAUCGUGGCACUAUUUUCUCACCACUGACCCAACAUCCAACCCAGUUGGCUGUAAGGAUGUGCAUAAAUCAACAUUAGGCUUAAAGACCACCAGGAGGGGCUGGCCCUACUCAGGAAGUUCUUUCUCAUGUCUAACUCCUGUCCCUCUUGCUGUACCUUCAAGCCAUUCCCAUACGUUACUGCUUCAGAAAAGGUUUCAUCACUUUUUUUGUCUUUUUGCCUUUUUAGGGCCACUUCCCACAGCAUAUGGAGCUUCCCAGGCUAGGGGUCUAAUUGGAGCUGUAGCUGCCAGCCUACACCAGAGCCAAAGCGACGUGGGAUCCAAGCCGCAUCUGUAGCCUGCACCCCACCUCACGGCAACGCCAGAUCCUCAACCUUCUGAGCGGGGCCAGGGAUUGAACCCACAACCUCAGGGUUCCUAGUCGGAUUCGUUAACCACUGUGCCACGACGGGAACUCCUUAUGCCCUUCUUUUUAAGGCUUCUCAGGGAAACGGUGUCAAAGGCGUGGACUGGCCACAACCUUGGGGUCAGAAGAUCCCAGCCCAGAGCAGGCCGAGGAACAGCCAGUUAUGCGCUGCCAUUUAAAUAACAUUUCUUUAAACAUGAGGGAUGGGAAAUGUCGCCCAGGGAUCCCCUUGUCCUCCUGGCAUGGGUUCGCCAUAGCGAAGAACGUGCUGUAGGGGUUCAGGAGGGUGGCCUGGUGUUGUGAGAGGAGCAGAGGCCAGGACAGACUUGAAAGCAAGGCCCAAGUCAGGGAGGUGAGGUCCCAUGGGGCCCAAAGGUCUCUGGGGCACGGGCAGGGCUGGCAGUGGGAGAGAGUCCACCCAGGCGGGACACUGUGGCGGGCCAGCCACCCCUGGCGCCAGGGACACUGGCUUUGCUCGAGUUUACCUUGACCACCGGCUAAGACCUUCCCUUCCCCCUCCAGGGUCUACAGACAGCGGAGGCCGACGGCACAGCCCACUGCCCCCUGGCCACCCCCGCAAGCACCAGGGUGGCAGCGCCCAGUGGCCGAGGAGACCAAAGUAAAGAUGGCAGCAAGCAGAGUGCCACUGUCACGCUGAGGGAAGGUCCGAGAAGCUGAUCUCGGUACCAGGGUCUCUCUGCCUGGAAGCUGAGUUUGAGAGCCGGGGGAUCCAGCAGGGACGCUCCGGGGCAGCCCGCCCUUCGCCCAGCUUCCUGCAGCCCUUUGCACCAGGCCUGGUGUCUGCCUCACGCCACCUUCAGAAGAAGAAUGUCCACUGGGCAGUGGCAGAGCCCUUCCCAAGGACCUCAGGCCCAUUUGGGGUCAUUCCCAGGCCUGGGUGCUCUUUCCAGGACCACCCACCCCCCGCCGUGGCCUCUGCUCUGGGAGAAGCUGGGACACGUCGCCCUUCAGGUCCGGCUCAGGCUGAGGAAGCCACUGGGGACACCUGGGCGGCUGCCGGCAAGAGGCAGGGAGGAAUCAUUUGUCCCCAACGCCAUGUGUUAGUAGAGGUUCUCCAGAAAAAGGGAACCAAAGUUGUGUGUGUGUGUGUGUGUGUGUGUGUGUGUGUGUGUGUGUGCGCGUGCGCACGCACUGCCCAAGACAGGGAGGAAAGAGAUUUCCUUGAAGAGAUGGGCGUAUUGGCUGUGGGNNNNNNNNNNNNNNNNNNNNNNNNNNNNNNNNNNNNNNNNNNNNNNNNNNNNGGCUGCCACUGUGUCCCCCAGUCGGGAGCAGAGGGCCCCCCUCCUCAGGUGACCUCAGCCUUUCUUCUCUGUCCGCCUUCACCUGGCUGGCUGAGGCCCACCCACAUCACACAGGCUGAUCUGCUUUUACUCAAAGUCUCCUCACGUUUAAUCUCAAGACAAAGAGCACACGCUAUCACUCAGAGGCGGAAUCUAAAAUGUGGCCCAGAGGAACCUACGUACAGAACAGACACAGGCUCACAGACAUGGGGGGCACACUUGCGGUUGCCCAGGGGGAGGGGGAGGGAGCGGGAUGGACGCAGCGUUUGGGGCUCCUACCCGCAACCUGUUGCACUGAGAUGGAUGAGCAAUGAGGUCCUGCUGUAUCGCCCAGGGAAUUACAGCCACUUACUGGUGACAGAACACGAUGGAAGAGGACAUGGGAAAAAGAAGGUGUAUCUAUGUCACACUGGGUCACCGUGCUGUGCAGCAGCAGCUGACAGAACUUUGUAAAUCAACCAUACUCGAAUCAAAAAAAUCUUUGGAACUCCAUCUCAUCUAAAGACUACCUUCCCAGCAACAUCUGGACCGGCGUUUGAUCAAACCUCUGGGUCUCGUGGGCCUGGCCAGGUCGAUGCGUCCAGUUAACCCUCUCGCUCCAUGGCUGGCCUGCAGAGUGACACUCGUCACAGCAUACGUGGGCUCCCAGGGAAACGCAGGAACACGGUCCCAUUUCCAUGACCCAGCCACCCGCCACCACAGCGCUCUAAUGUCCCUCUCAGCACCCCUGAUGCAGGGAGGAAGGUGCUGCUAACUGUUGGGAACAAGACACAUGAAACCAGCCGUGUAAACUGGGGACCCAACACUAAGGCUCCAGUUGCAUUAGGAUUGUAUAUGCUUCCGUCAUUUUCCAUCAAGACAGGAAAAAACAAAACAGAAAAACUCUGAGCACCAUCCUGUGUCAGGGGGAUCGUCACCUCCUCUGGUUGUGCUUUUGGCCCUUGCCGUCAUUUUCAAACUGGCGCCUCAUCCCUUGCUUUCAGGGCCCCCUUGUUUGAAGGCCAUUGGGAGCCACACCCCCAGGUGGCAGAAGUCACGCUGGGCAGAGCAGGUCAGGGCUGGGAGGGGGAGGUGGCCUCGUGGUCUUGCGGCCCUGGUGGAGCCUGGGCAUCUUUGCCCCCGUGUGGGCCUGGCCUGUGGUAGGCACACUGCACACAGGCACUGUCGCCUGGCCGCCUCCCAUAAUGCCUGCUGUCACGGAAGACAUGCUAGGGGCUUCCUCGAAGCCGUGUUUUCCUUUCUGGAGGCGUGUGUGGCAGUGGGAGUGGGGCCCAUUUAUCCUCAGCGGCUCUGCUGCCCACUGUGCUGCCUACCUGCCAUACGCGCACCACCCUCAUUGAAGCGCCAAGGCCGCCUGGGGAGGGACACCUUCUGCUCUCUGGUGCUGGCCCCAGCUCCUGGGAAGGGCAGGAAUUCCCGAUUGCCCCCUUUUAUCUGCUCUUUUUUGUCCAUGAGAACAGAACCCCAAUUUUCAGCUGACCACAGCUCCCAAAAAUCUCCAUUCCCCAGCCUCCUUUGUGGCUGUGUAUGGCCAUGUGACUAAGUUCUGCUUGAUGGAAUAUAAGCCAGAGUGGCUGCUUCCUGGACUUUUUAUCAUAAAGGAUAAUGAGCAUGUCCCCCGUGCCUCUUCACUUCCUCAAUCCUACCACCUGGAAGUUGAAUGUGAUGGCUGGAACUCUAGCCACCAUUUUGGGGCCAUGAGGGCAAAGGCUACACCCUGCAGAGAAUGGAGUGGGAAGCUGAAAGGAGCCUGGGUCCUCUGGGAGCAGAGGUGUCUCUCAGCAUUGCUCCAUCCUACUUCCAGACUUUAGCCCGAGAGAGAAAUAAACAUCCCCCUGAAGCCACUGUGGUUGGUGCACCUCAUCUUAUGUGACACACGAGGGAAGCUCAGGCAGUUGGCAACUCAUGGCUGGAGAAGAUUCUGGUGCUUUAGUGGAGCAGCAGUGAGGGAUCAGAGAUGCAGGGCAGAGGACGAGGCAUGGGGGUUGAGUUCAGCCCCUGGGGUGGUGGGAGAAAAGCAGAAACUCCCAGUCUUUGUAUACC